AGUGAAUGCUGGCGGUAGGCCUAACACAUGCAAGUCGAACGGCAGCACAGUAAGAGCUUGCUCUUACGGGUGGCGAGUGGCGGACGGGUGAGGAAUACAUCGGAAUCUACUUUUUCGUGGGGGAUAACGUAGGGAAACUUACGCUAAUACCGCAUACGACCUACGGGUGAAAGCAGGGGAUCUUCGGACCUUGCGCGAUUGAAUGAGCCGAUGUCGGAUUAGCUAGUUGGCGGGGUAAAGGCCCACCAAGGCGACGAUCCGUAGCUGGUCUGAGAGGAUGAUCAGCCACACUGGAACUGAGACACGGUCCAGACUCCUACGGGAGGCAGCAGUGGGGAAUAUUGGACAAUGGGCGCAAGCCUGAUCCAGCCAUACCGCGUGGGUGAAGAAGGCCUUCGGGUUGUAAAGCCCUUUUGUUGGGAAAGAGAAGCAGCAGGUUAAUACCCCGCUGUUCUGACGGUACCCAAAGAAUAAGCACCGGCUAACUUCGUG
rnacentral:rRNA from 1 species